rnacentral:rRNA from 1 species
GAUGAACGCUAGCGGCAGGCUUAAUACAUGCAAGUCGAGGGGUAGCAAGAUUGUAGCAAUACAAUUGUUGACGACCGGCAAACGGGUGCGGAACACGUACACAACCUUCCUACAAGUGGGGAAUAGCCCAGAGAAAUUUGGAUUAAUACCCCGUAACAUAGCGAUGUGGCAUCACAUUGCUAUUAUAGCUUCGGCGCUUGUUGAUGGGUGUGCGGCUGAUUAGAUAGUUGGCGGGGUAACGGCCCACCAAGUCUACGAUCAGUAGCUGAUGUGAGAGCAUGAUCAGCCACACGGGCACUGAGACACGGGCCCGACUCCUACGGGAGGCAGCAGUAAGGAAUAUUGGACAAUGGACGCAAGUCUGACCCAGCCAUGCCGCGUGAAGGAUUAAGGUCCUCUGGAUUGUAAACUUCUUUUAUAAGGGACGAAAAAAGGUCUUUCUAGAUCGUCUGACGGUACCUUAUGAAUAAGCACCGGCUAACUACGUGCCAGCCGCCGCGGUAAAAC